rnacentral:rRNA from 1 species
UACGUAGGGUGCGAGCGUUGUCCGGAAUUAUUGGGCGUAAAGAGCUCGUAGGCGGUGUGUCGCGUCGGCCGUGAAAACCUGCAGCUUAACUGUGGGCUUGCGGUCGAUACGGGCAUCACUGGAGUUCGGCAGGGGAGACUGGAAUUCCUGGUGUAGCGGUGAAAUGCGCAGAUAUCAGGAGGAACACCGGUGGCGAAGGCGGGUCUCUGGGCAACUACUGA